rnacentral:sRNA from 1 species
AGCACCGAGGAAAAAUGGAUG